CAUUCAGUUCAGCACUGUUAAGUCGCAGGUUUUGUGAGGGAGGGAGAAAAAGGGGAGAGAGAAAGAGAGAGAGAGAGUGCACAAACCAACCUGAGGCAGUAUCACCUUUUAUGACAUAACAUUGGAAAUUACACAUCACCACUUCCUCUGAAUUCUGAUUGGUCAAUUCCGCUACAAAGACCCACAGCUUCAACAGGAGGAAACAUGGACUUUCAACGGGGAGAAGUGUCAGGAUCACAUUGUGGCAGGCUCCUUUGGAUAGAGUGGAAGUAGAUGAUCGUCUGUCUUCCUCAGGUGACUUCAGGGCAGGGAGGUGUGGGGGAGGCUGGAAUUGGUAUAAGGAUGCGGUGCAAGGAAUACAGGAUUAUUCAGCCAGGUGCCCCUGUGCCAGGCCACUGUUGAAGACUCAGCAGGAGUUCCAUCUUCUGACAGGGCUCCUGCAACUAUGAUAAUAGUAAUGAUAAUAAAUGAUUACAGUAAAACCCAGUAAUAGUUAUUGAGAGCUUGUCACAUCCCCAGGCACUGUGCAAAGAGCUGUACAUCAUUACUCCUUUAGUUUCUUUGAUAAAUUUUAGUUUUUUGAAAUUUGUAGAUAUUAGAGUCGGGAUUCAAAAAGCACAAAUAGCGGCCAGUGUUGUAGUGUGGAGGGUUAAGCUGCUGCCUGUGAUGUUAUCAUCCCACAUGAGCCUGGUUCAAGUUCUGGCUGCUCCACUUCUGGUCCAGCUCCCUGCUAAUGCACCUGGGAAGCCGGUGGAAGAUGAUGUAAGUGUUUGGGCCCCUGCCACCCCAAAUGGGAGACUCAGAUGGAGUUUCAGGCUCCUGGCCCAGCCCCAGCUGUUGUGACCAUUUGAGGAGUAAACCAGUGAAUGAAAGAUUUCUCUCUCUCUGACUCUGUAAUUCUGCAUUUCAAAUAAUUUUUUUGACAGGCAGAGUUAGACAGUGAGAGAGAGACAGAGAGAAAGGUCUUCCUUCCAUUGGUUCACCCCACAAUGGCCGCUUCGGCUGGCGCGCUGCGCUGAUCCGAAGCCAGGAGCCAGGUGCCCCAUCCUGGUCUCCCAUGCGGGUGCAGGGCCCAAGGACUUGGGCUAUCCUCCACUGCCUUCCCGGGCCACAGCAGAGAGCUGGACUGUAAGAGGAGCAACCGGGACAGUACCGGUGCCCCGACAGGGACUAGAACCCGGGGUGCCGGCGCCACAGGUGGAGGAUUAGCCUAGUGAGCCAUGGCGCUGGCCUCAAAUAAUAUUUUUUAAAUAAAGCAGAAAUGGAUAUCCUUGGCCCCUGGACAACUAUGUAAUUAUUUAUUUUGUAUAUUCUUGCAGGAAUAUUUUAUGCAUAGAUGAUCAGACUUCAAAAAUUCAUGGAAAAUAGAAUAAAAAAUUUAUCUUCCUUAAAUUUUGAAGUUCAUGGAUAGAUUUUUCUUUCCUUUUCUUUUUUAAAGAUUUAUUUAUUUGUUUGAAAGGCGAGUUACAGAGAAGCAGAGGCAGAGAGAGAGAGAAAGGUCUUCCAUCUGCUGGUUCACUCCCCAGAUGGCCACAAUGGCCGGAAUUGUGCUGGGAGCCAGGAGCUUCUUCCAGGUCUCCCACGUGGGUGCAGGGGCCCAAGGACUUGGGCCAUCUUCUGCUGCUUUUCCCAGGCCAUAGCAGAGAGCUGGAUGGGAAGUGGAGCAGCCAGGACUCGAACCAGCACCCAUAUGGGUGUCAGCAGUGCAGACGGUGGCUUUACCUGCUACACGACAGUGCUGGCCCCUAGAUUUUUCAUAACAUGGAUUUUCACGAACUUUUUGAAGAGCCCUCGUAUAUAUGUAUUUCAAAAGUUUUCUGUACCCAAAAAAGCUCAUCUCUUAAUUCCAUUUUCCACAAACCUUUCAAAGCAUCCUUGUAUACGCAAAUAUCUGUAUGUAUCUGUACCUCCAUAGUUUUAAAAUUUUUAAAAAGAUUCCUUAUUUAUUUGAAAGGCAGAGUGAGUGAGAGAGAGAAAGAGAGGGAGAGAGGUCUUCCAUCUGCUGGUUCACUCCCAAAAUGUCCACAAGGGCUGCUGCUGGGCUGAGCGGAAGUCAGGAGCCAGGAGCUCUAUCUGGGUCUCCUGUGUGGGUGCAGGGGCCUGAGCACUUAGGCCAUCUUCUAUUGCUUUCUCAGGGGCAUUAGCAGGGAGCUGGAUGGGAAACAGAGCAGCUGGGACUUGAACCAGUGCUCAUGUGAGAUGCUGGUAUUUCAGGCGAUGGUUUAAUCCUCUGCAGAAUGCUAGCCUCUCUGUUGUUUCUUUUUCUUUUUCUUUUUUAAAGAUUUAUUUAUUUAUUUGAAAGAGUUACACAGAAAGAAGGAGAGGCAGAGAGAGAGAGAGAGAAGUCUUCCAUUUGCUGGUUCACUACCCAGUUGGCCACAAUGGCUGGAGCUGUGCCGAUCUGAAGCCAGGAGCCAGGAGCUUCUUCUGGGUCUCCCAGAUGGGUGCAGGGGCCCAAGGACUCAGCCAUCUUCCACUGCUUUCCCAGGCCAUAGCAGAGAGCUGGAUCGGAAGUGGAGCAACGGGGACUUGAACCAGCGCCCAUAUGGGAUGCCGACACUGCAGGCAGUGGCUUUACCCUCUACGCCACAUCGCCGGCCCCUGUUUAUUUUUCAAACCCAGAUGAGUGCAUUCUGCACCGCUUCACACCGAGUAUUCACACUGCACUUGUGAUUCUACUCAGGUCAGGACAUAUAAAAGCAUGUUUGUGUUUGUUUAUUUGGGAAGGUCAGUGUCAUAGCCCAUUGUUUGGAUUAACAUUAUUUAUUCAGUUUUCCAUUAAUAACCAGUGAAAUGGGGGCCAGUGCUGCGGCGCAGUAGGUUAAGCCUCCACCUGCGGUGCCAGCAUCCCAUAUGGGCGCUGGUUCGUGUCCUGGCUGCUCCUCUUCUGGUCCAGCUCUCUGCUAUGGCCUGCGAAAGCAGUAGAAGAUGGCCCAAGUGCUUGGGCCCUUGAACCCCUGUGGGAGACCUGGAAGAAGCUCCUGACUCCUGGCUUCGGAUUGGCCCAGCUCUGGCUGUUGUAGCCGUUUGGGUGUGAAGCAGGGGCUGGAAGAUCUGUCUCUCCUCAUUCUUUACCUCUGCCUUUCCAAUAAAUAAAUAAACCUUUUUAAAGAAAAUGGCCAAGGAAAUAAUUUCCACUUGAUUGCAAAUACAAAUAAAGCUGCGAUGAAAAAUGUUGCAUGUAAGUUCUUUUAGCUUUUUGUGACCUUAACUAAAAUACCCAAGAGGAGCUUUUUGGGAAGGAAAGGUUUGUUUCGGCUGACAGCUUGGAGGUCAGGGUUCAGAACUGGGUCGCCCAGUUAGUCUGUCAUGUGCUGGAGACUGGCCGUGGCAGAGAGGCGAUCAUGUGGGGAGCCAGGAAGCAGAGACACAGGCAGCACACUUGGCUUCUGUAAUUCACCUGUCGGAUAACCACAUUCGUUCAGAGGGCUAGCCCUCAGGGACCUAAAGAUGGCCCACCAGAUCACCUCUCAGAAGUCAUAUUAGCUCAUCAAGUCUCCAUCGUUAACCCAACAACCAUCAGCACAAGACUUUGGGUUUUACAUAUCCCCAUGAGUUGGGGGAGCCAAAUCGUGUUCCAUCUGCAGCAGGUCUUUUCCCAGAGCAGGUGCAUUCUUCAGGGUAAAGCAUUGGGAAUGGAAUUCCCUGGACACGGGGUAUGUGUCUCCCUCGUAUGGGCAGAGAUGGCCAAAGUGUCCUGCUUGCUGGUCAUAUCCAUCUCCACGGCCUACAGCCUCUUCUCCAUUCCCCAAGCACAAUCGGUUAUCCAGCUUCGGCACUGUUGUCAAUAAGCCAGUUAAAAACGGCUGCCUGGUAUAAUUACAAUCGACAUUUCUCUUAUUGUAAGUGGAACUCCUUUUGUGUGUGUGUUUGGUCAUUUGCAUUUGGCAUUUAUAUUUUCUUUCUGUUGUGGAUUGCCUCAGCUUCAGUUUCUAGAAGUUCUUAUUUAUGAGAGAGGCCAGCCUGUGUUCGUGAUAUAAGUUGCUAUCACUCACAGUUUGUCAGUUUGUCUUUAAGCUUUACAUCUGUGGUUUGUCCAUGCCAAUUGAAAGAAAAUUCAUAGAAAUCAGUGUUCAUGUUUUAUGCUGCACAUCAAGGGGGUGUCUCCCACUGUGAUCUCACAGAAACCUACUCUCACAUUUUUUUUCCCACUACUGCUAUGCCUUUAGUUUCGUGUUUCUGUCUUGGAGCCAUUGGAGUUUAGUCUGGUAUGAGGUUUAUAGGCAUAGGACUUCUUUGUGUAAUUCUGAUAGUUACCCUGCUAUCCCACUACCAUUUAUUGAAAGCCUGGCUUUCCCCUGUCUCACCUUUAUUUCAUGUAGUACUCAUGGCAGUUCUUUGAAGUCAGCAUUGGCCUUCCAGAUCAUGCAGAUGAGGAAGCCAAGGCUUAAGGAGUAACUUAAGUCACACAUCCAGAAAUGGGGCUGCCCUGGUUGGAGUUCAGGUCGCUCUCCUGCCUUCUAGUACAGCUCCGGUCCCUUGUGUCCUUGCCGCCCAGCUCUUGUGUGUUGGUGGUGUUGGCCUUGCAGCUCCGACCUACCAGCAUCUCUCCUGGCAGCUUUUGGGCUUUGAUAAUUGAAGGGUUAUUGAUUGGAUCCACACACUGGAGCCAUGCGCUGGAACACUCCUGGUGGGCGUUGCUGUCCAGCCAGCCCACCACCUAGGCCUCGUCCAGCUGGCUGUUUAUUAGAUCUGCUGCCCAUCCCACAGGCCAGAGUCAGGGAACAGGGGCCACCUUGUGUCAGCCACCUGCACAAGGGGCGUGCCCUCUACUCUUGGCUUCCCAGAAGGGGCAGUACUUUGCUCAGCUGUCUGCGGGUAUGACUGAAGCCUUGGCGUCUUCUCUCUGUCACUCAGCUCUCUUUGGGUUGGGAGUGAUAGAGACCCAGUGCCAACUAAAAUAGGCCAAGGAGCCACUCAUGUUCUCUCCUAAUUGAUCCCCAGUGAGGGCCAUGGUCUCACUGGCCUGGGGAUCCCAGGAUUCAAGAACUGCCCCAUGUCUGUCUGUCUUCUCCCCACUUCUGCCUCCCUCUCCUACUGCAGCCUCAUCCAUCCAGAAGCAGCAGCAAGAGCUAACAGUUUGACAAGGCACAGCAAACAAGGGACAGAUUCUGGUAGGCCAGUCUUGGGUCACAGGCCCAACAAUACUGCAGCCAAGGGAAGGGAGGUGUGGGACUUAGGAGUGUCCAGGUGGCCACCACCGGGGUGAGGCUGACAUGGAAAGUUCCCUCAAAACCACGUGGUGGGAAUGGCAGUGACUUUCAGCCAAGGAGAAGGAAAAGGUUUCUGGCCUGAAAAAAGUACAAAUCAGCUCUGCCUUUGUUUUGGAGUCAAAUCAAAGUACUUUUCAUAGUAUGUAAUUUAGCACCAAACAUUGCCUAUGAUUGCCUUUUUAUCUCUGCCUACAAGUUCCUGUGAACUGUAUUUAUUUUUAUGUAUUUGAGAAACAGAGAGAAAGAAAGUCUGAGAGAGAGAGAGAGAGACAGACAGACAGACACACACACAAAGAGAGAUCUCCCAUCCUCUGGUUCCCUCCUCAAAUGCCUGCAACAGCUAGGGCUGGGCCAGGCAGAAGCCAGGAGCCAGGAACUCCAUCCUGGUCUCCCAUGUGGGUGUCAGGGGCCCAGGUAUUUGGACCACCUUCUGCUGCCUUCCUAGGUGCACUGCCAGGGAGCUGGAUCACAAGCGGAGCAGCUGAGGCUGGAACUGUCACUCUGAUACGGGACGCCAGCAUCACAAGUGGCAGCUUAACAGGCUGUGCCACAGUGCCAGCCCGGGGAACCAAGUGCCUGAGCCAUCACUGCUGCCUCCCAGGGUCUGCAUGAGCAGGAAGCUGGCAUUGGGUGCUGGAGCCGAGACUCAAAACUUAGUCCUCUGAUGUGGGAUGGGGCAUCUUAACCUGUUUCUGAAACACCAACCCUUAUUUAUAAUACUUUGUUUUCUUUUACUAAAAUAUUAAUAUGUAUAGAUUUACAUCAACUUGCAAAAAUAGUUAUGUGGCAUUUCAUAAUACACUUACUCCUUCCACUCACGGGUAAUUUGGUUAUUAUGAAUGUUUUUUUUAUUAUGAGCGAUAUGCUAAUGAUGCUCCUUCUCCAUGUAUUUUAUGAAUACCUAAGAGUAGAACUGCCAGGUCACAAAGUGAGCUCUGCCUUAGACGGGAAAGUAGCAGAACUGGAUAGCAGUAGCCCGGUGAUUACGCUCCUCUCCUACCUCCUGGGACACACGUACAGGCGUUUGGAGAAAGUCUGCUCUGAGUGCUGUCAGGCUGGCCUCGUAGGUGCUCCCUGUCAGCAGGAGUUUGCACCAGGCCGCUGCUGUGAUCGGUGGAUUUCUUUGCUCUCAUGCAUCAGUUUGUAGCCUAAAGCCCUAUUCUCCUGCUGUGGCAGGCACAGCCCCAGAGACCAGAUCAGCCCCUGCUCAGCAGAUGAGUUUUCCUCCUCUGUUUACAAUUUAGCUGCAAAUUCCUUUCGUUCCUAUUUCUGGGGUGAAAUCUUGCUUGUGAGAUAGCCUGAUCCCGCUCCAAGCCCACACUGGGUGCUGAACAGAGCCGGUGACAGGCCUACCAUGGCCCAGGAGGUGGGGGGCAGGUGGAUUUUAUAUUGAGCGGGAUAGGCAGGGGGAUUUUCUUCCUGCCAGCCACCCAUGAACCAAAUAAAAGAGCAGCAAGAGAUAAAUCAGGUGGCCUUUCACUCUCAGGGAAAAGGUUUUGGUGUUCCUAUUCUAAAGGUCUUUCUAUAUUAAACAGAGGGAUUGAUGUAUGGCGUUUUAUUUAAACUGGUAUUAACUCAUUAUGUCUCCAAACUCAGCUUUUAAAUCACCUGCACAUGACGGAUUGUAAAAACCAGGCGGUUAUGAUGUCUGGGGGAAAGACAGCCUCCCAGGAUGUUUGUAGACCUCUAACUCCUGGCUUAUUUGUCUUUGGGUUUAUGGAGCCUGCAGAGCAGCUCUAUAGGGAGGGAGAGGACGGCUGCGGGCCUGUGGGCGUGCACCCACAUGCACACCCACACUCGUGCAACCAGCGUGUCAUCAGAGCAGUUGAGCCUGGGUCCAGGUGCACAGCUUCUUAAGAGUUUCCCCUGCAGAUUUUUUUUUUAUUAUUUUGUAAAGUGCCCACACUCACAAAUUGUACUCCCUGCAAUUCAUCCUGAGUUUAUUGCAAUUACUGACAGGCUCUGGUUUAUGACAGGCAUCCAUCAUCUUGUGGACCACAGCGCGUGCAGCUGUGGCGUGAUGCAGAGGCCAGGGCACAGCAGGCCCUCCAGGUACGGGAUGGGAUGGCCUGGGGGCCAAGAGGAGGUGCUGGCAAAAUUUUUUUUUUAAUGUGUGUCACAGGAUGUGAUGGAAGAGAAACAGAUUAAGGGAAUCGAGGGAGAUUCUUCAAAACAUAUCCAGGGACCAGCAUUGUGGCACAGCAGGUUAGGCCGCCACGUGCGACUCCAGCAUCUCUUGUUGAAGACCAGUUCAAGCUCUGACUGUUCCACUUCUGAUCAAGCUCCCUGUGAAUGUGCCUGGAAAAACUGCAGACCUCCAUCCAGAAACUGAGCUUCACGCAGCAGGGCUCGCUUCUGCUGGUUCACCAGCAUGUGGCUAGUACUUCACUAAACGCUGAGCCAAUCGUGCAAAGUUGAUGAAUCACUGUUGGAUCCCUGAAGGCACCGGGGUUGCAGAGAGGAGGCAAGUGGAGCCUGAUGAGCUUGGAUAACCUGCCCCAGAUCUCAGGGGACCCAGCAGUGCUUUGACAAUCUAUCUACUCCAGCUUGUUAUGGGGGUAGAAGCCUCUGAAGUGCUGGCCAUGCUUCUCAACUGUCCAUCUUCCAGGACCUGUUGAAGAGAACCCAUCGACCUCUGCACCAGGAUCCACCGUGGUCACCCAGCUAAGAGCCCUGCUGGGCAUUUCAGAGUGUCCCUGAGUGAGCUACCUUGGUUUACAUAGCCAAGGCCAUGGGAAAGACAUCAACUGCAGAGUUGGCAGGAAGAUCAAAACGGCCUCUAUCUGUGUACUUUGAUGAGUUCACAUGAGUUGCAUUUCCCGUCUAUGAACUCCACUGAAACAGAAAAACAGAGAAAGCGCGCCUUUACAGAGCGUAAGUGAUUCCAUUUACCAUUCCACUCAACGAACAUGGGCUGCGAAAUGUGAAUCUGCCGCUCCCUCGGGGCUGAACACAAAACCAUGUAAACGGCUCCAUUUUAUAGCCGAUUCGCACGCUUCUCAAGGGUAAUUCUGUCUGAUGCGAUGACACUGGAACUUAACCCCAUGUGAAGACAGAGCUCCAUGGAGUG